AAGUGAUAUGGAUGCUGAAAUUUUUAUUUCACUUCUUCAACAACUACCAGUGUUGUGGAACUAAUUCUGUGAUGCAAGUUUCUGCUCAAAAAGAAGCAAUGGUCACAGGUGCACGAUGUCAUCAUUUAGCAUAUUGCCACGGACUGUGUUAUUAACGGCAACAUCCCUUAUCUGAAAUAAUUAUUGAACGAGUUCGGGGAUGUCGAACAAAUCUUCAAUAGGUUCAUGGAGGGGCGGAUUUCGAGCGGCUUUAUCGAGCUGAAUGAGAAGUUUGACCUGACCGGCGACGCGAUCGACGACGAGACCAAGGCACUCCAGCCAAAACUGUCAGAUAUGUGCUCUGUGGUCUAAAUGUUCCAAUGCCCGACGCCAAAGCAUCGGUUCUGUCAGAACGGAAUUCCAGCU